UUCUUAUCCAGAGAGGCUGAGGGACUGGCCCUGAGACGCCCGGCAACCUUCUUAGGCAUUUAUCUAAGAAAGGUGCUAAUUCCUGCAGAAGAAUAAUCUUCUGAAAGAUAAGGA
rnacentral:ncRNA from 19 species